rnacentral:piRNA from 1 species
UCCCUACUGUGGCCUACCUUCUGUCAAA